GACGAACGCUGGCGGCGUGCUUAACACAUGCAAGUCGAGCGGAAAGGCCUCUUCGGGGGUACUCGAGCGGCGAACGGGUGAGUAACACGUGAGUAAUCUGCCCUUCACUCUGGGAUAGCCACCGGAAACGGUGAUUAAUACCGGAUACGACACGUCCAGGCAUCUGGUGCGUGUGGAAACUUUUUGGGUGGGGGAUGUGCUCGCGGCCUAUCAGCUUGUUGGUGGGGUAAUGGCCUACCAAGGCUUCGACGGGUAGACGGCCUGAGAGGGUGGCCGGCCACACUGGGACUGAGACACGGCCCAGACUCCUACGGGAGGCAGCAGUGGGGAAUAUUGGACAAUGGGCGGAAGCCUGAUCCAGCAACGCCGCGUGAGGGAUGACGGCCUUCGGGUUGUAAACCUCUUUCAGCACCGACGAAGCGAUCCUUUGGGGGAGUGACGGUAGGUGCAGAAGAAGGACCGGCCAACUACGUGCCAGCCGCCGCGGUAAUAC
rnacentral:rRNA from 1 species